GACGAACGCUGGCGGCGUGCUUAACACAUGCAAGUCGAACGGUGAAGCGCCUUCCUUUUUGGUGGGUGUGGAUGAGUGGCGAACGGGUGAGUAACACGUGAGUAACCUGCCCCCUUCUUCUGGAUAACCGCAUGAAAGUGUGGCUAAUACGGGAUAUUCUGGGUCUGUCGCAUGAUGGGUCUGGGAAAGAUAUUGUUUCGGUGGGGGAUGGGCUCCCGGCCUAUCAGCUUGUUGGUGGGGUGAUGGCCUACCAAGGCGGUGACGGGUAGCCGGCCUGAGAGGGUGGACGGUCACACUGGGACUGAGACACGGCCCAGACUCCUACGGGAGGCAGCAGUGGGGAAUAUUGCACAAUGGGCGCAAGCCUGAUGCAGCGACGCCGCGUGAGGGAUGGAGGCCUUCGGGUUGUGAACCUCUUUCGCCAGUGAAGCAGGCCUGCCUCGUUUGUGGGUGGGUUGACGGUAGCUGGAUAAGAAGCGCCGGCUAACUACGUG
rnacentral:rRNA from 1 species